UACGAGGGGGGCGAGCGUUGCUCGGAAUUAUUGGGCGUAAAGGGUGCGUAGGCGGUUCCGCAAGUCCUGUGUGAAAUCUUCGGGCUCAACUCGAAGUCUGCACGGGAAACUGCGGGGCUUGAGUGUGGGAGAGGUGAGUGGAAUUCCCGGGGUAGCGGUGAAAUGCGUAGAUAUCGGGAGGAACACCUGUGGCGAAAGCGGCUCACUGGACCAUAACUGACGCUGAUGCACGAAAGCUGGGGGAGCAAACAGG
rnacentral:rRNA from 1 species